rnacentral:rRNA from 1 species
GAUGAACGCUAGCGGCAGGCCUAACACAUGCAAGUCGAGGGGUAGGACAUUUCGGUGUCUGAGACCGGCGCACGGGUGCGUAACGCGUAUGCAAUCUGCCUUAUACUAAGGGAUAGCCCAGAGAAAUUUGGAUUAAUACCUUAUAGUAUAUAGAUGUGGCAUCACGUUUAUAUUAAAGAUCUAUCGGUAUAAGAUGAGCGUGCGUCCCAUUAGCUAGUUGGUAUGGUAACGGCAUACCAAGGCAAUGAUGGGUAGGGGUCCUGAGAGGGAGAUCCCCACACUGGUACUGAGACACGGACCAGACUCCUACGGGAGGCAGCAGUGAGGAAUAUUGGUCAAUGGGCGCAAGCCUGAACCAGCCAUGCCGCGUGCAGGAUGACGGUCCUAUGGAUUGUAAAACUGCUUUUUGUACGGGAAGAAACAACUCUUCGUGAAGAGUCUUGACGGUACCGUAAGAAUAAGGAUCGGCUAACUCCGUGCCAGCAGCCGCGGUAAUACGGAGGAUCCAAGCGAUAUCCGGAAUCAUUGGGUUUAAAGGGUCCGUAGGCGGUUUAUAAGUCAGUGGUGAAAUCCGGCAGCUCAACUGUCGAACUGCCAUUGAUACUGUAG